rnacentral:misc_RNA from 1 species
UGCAUGGAUAUUUCUGUGCACCAAUUGCUAGAUAAGGCAUUGUUUUUCAGUUUUUUUAUAAUGCUCUACCUUUAGGGUUUUUCCAGAAGUUUCUUUAACUUUCACUCAAAAAAAUUGGAGAUAAAGUAUGUUUUAACAGUGCUUUUUCAUUGAGUUGGUUUUUUAAGUAUUUAGCAGGAGUAUGUCUUAUCUUUGUUUUUGUACUUAUUUUCUCUUCAUUCUCAAUUAAGAUUCUUAUUUUUAUUUAAAAAGAAAAAGAAUUCAGGCAUCGGAUAACACAGUAGGGUAUUAACAAUAUACAAUUUUGAAAACCUACAAAUGCAUUAUAGAAACACACACAUCGUACUAAAUGAAAGCAAGUUACAUGUAUGUGAACAAAUUACCUUAUAACAAAUGUAGUGCUUGUAAAAGGCUAAUAAGUUGCUUAAUAUAAAAGAGACUUACAUCCUGAUCCAUCUGUAUGUUGGCAUCAUCAAGUGUUUUAUCCAUGUCAUGCAUCAAAGCAUGCUUUCGGUGGCCAUAGUAAUCCCAAAUGCAA